rnacentral:rRNA from 1 species
GACGAACGCUGGCGGCGUGCUUAACACAUGCAAGUCGAACGAAAAGAGGGAAAGAGCUUGCUCUUUCCGGAAUUGAGUGGCAAACGGGUGAGUAACACGUAAACAACCUGCCUUCAGGAUGGGGACAACAGACGGAAACGACUGCUAAUACCGAAUAAGUUCCAAGGGCCGCAUGGCCCAUGGAAGAAAAGGUGGCCUCUACCUGUAAGCUAUCGCCUGAAGAGGGGUUUGCGUCUGAUUAGCUGGUUGGAGGGGUAACGGCCCACCAAGGCGACGAUCAGUAGCCGGUCUGAGAGGCUGAACGGCCACACUGGCACUGAGACACGGUCCAGACUCCUACGGGAGGCAGCAGUGGGGAAUCUUCCGCAAUGGGCGAAAGCCUGACGGAGCAACGCCGCGUGAGUGAUGACGGCCUUCGGGUUGUAAAACUCUGUGAUCCGGGACGAAAAGGCAGAGUGCGAAGAACAAACUGCAUUGACGGUACCGGAAAAGCAAGCCACGGCUAACUACGUG